CACGUAGGGGCCAAGCGUUGUCCGGAAUUACUGGGUGUAAAGCGCGUGUAGGCGGUAGGCCAAGUCUGCUGUGAAAUCGCCCGGCUCAACUGGGCGCGGUCGGUGGAAACUGGUCAACUGGAGGACGGUAGAGGCGAGUGGAAUUCCCGGUGUAGUGGUGAAAUGCGUAGAGAUCGGGAGGAACACCAGUGGCGAAGGCGGCUCGCUGGGCCGGUCCUGACGCUGAGACGCGAAGGCGUGGGGAGCGAACGGG
rnacentral:rRNA from 1 species